rnacentral:rRNA from 1 species
CCUACGGGAGGCAGCAGUGAGGAAUAUUUGUCAAUGGCCGGAAGGCUGAACCAGCCAUGCCGCGUGAAGGUCAGUGCCCUAUGGGCGUUAAACUUCUUUUGUGCGGGAGCAAUAAUGGUCACGUGUGGCCAGACGAGAGUACCGUACGCACAAGCAUCAGCUAACUCCGUGCCAGCAGCCGCGGUAAUACGGGUACUGCGAGCGUUAUCCGGAUUUAUUUGGUUUAAAGGGUGCGUAGGCUGUGAGUGAAGUCAGCGGUGAAAUGCCCCCGCGCAACGGGGUGAAGUGCCAUUGAUACUGCCUUGCUGGAAUGCGGAUGCGGUGGGAGGAAUGUGUGGUGGAGCGGUGAAAUGCAUAGAUAUCACACAGAACACCGAUUGCGAAGGCAUCUCACGAAUCCGCGAUUGACGCUGAUGCACGAAAGCGUGGGUAUCAAACAGGAUUAGAUACCCGGGUAGUC